rnacentral:rRNA from 1 species
UACGUAGGGUGCAAGCGUUAAUCGGAAUUACUGGGCGUAAAGCGUGCGCAGGCGGUUUUGUAAGGCUGUCGUGAAAUCCCCGGGCUCAACCUGGGAAUGGCGAUGGUGACUGCAAGGCUAGAGUUUGGAAGAGGGGGGUAGAAUUCCACGUGUAGCAGUGAAAUGCGUAGAUAUGUGGAGGAACACCGAUGGCGAAGGCAGCCCCCUGGGUCAAAACUGACGCUCAUGCACGAAAGCGUGGGGAGCAAACAGG